GACGAACGCUGGCGGCGUGCUUAACACAUGCAAGUCGAACGGAAAGGCCCUGCUUUUGUGGGGUGCUCGAGUGGCGAACGGGUGAGUAACACGUGAGUAACCUGCCCUUGACUUUGGGAUAACUUCAGGAGACUGGGGCUAAUACCGGAUAGGAGCUCCUGCUGCAUGGUGGGGGUUGGAAAGUUUCGGCGGUUGGGGAUGGACUCGCGGCUUAUCAGCUUGUUGGUGGGGUAGUGGCUUACCAAGGCUUUGACGGGUAGCCGGCCUGAGAGGGUGACCGGCCACAUUGGGACUGAGAUACGCCCCAGACUCCUACGGGAGGCAGCAGUGGGGAAUAUUGCACAAUGGGCGGAAGCCUGAUGCAGCAACGCCGCGUGCGGGAUGACGGCCUUCGGGUUGUAAACCGCUUUCGCCUGUGACGAAGCGUGAGUGACGGUAAUGGGUAAAGAAGCACCGGCUAACUACGUG
rnacentral:rRNA from 1 species